rfam:Tetraodon nigroviridis chromosome 2 SCAF14781, whole genome shotgun sequence.
GUCCCUGGUUAGUUUUGCUGGUUUGCUUUCAGCUUUUCUCUAUACUGCUGUGCAAAUCCAUGCAAAACUGAUCAUGGAG